rnacentral:tRNA from 1 species
GCAGAUGUGGCGUAAUGGUAGCCGCGCUAGACUUAGGAUCUAGUGAGUAUUCUCGUGAGAGUUCAAGUCUCUCCAUCUGCA